rnacentral:rRNA from 1 species
UACGAAGGGUGCAAGCGUUACUCGGAAUUACUGGGCGUAAAGCGUGCGUAGGUGGUUUUUUAAGUCCGUUGUGAAAGCCCUGGGCUCAACCUGGGAAUGGCAGUGGAUACUGGAAAGCUAGAGUGCGGUAGAGGGUAGUGGAAUUCCCGGUGUAGCAGUGAAAUGCGUAGAGAUCCGGAGGAACACCAGUGGCGCAGGCGGCUCUCUGGGUCGGCCCUGACGCUGAGGCGCGAAAGCGUGGGGAGCGAACGGG